UUCUUUGUUUCGCUUAAUGGAGCGACAAGUUGUCGAUCCAACGGGGGAACCAACUUCUGUUCCGCAAAUGCGGAGUGGAUCGGGGCCAACGAUGCGCGGCAUCGAGAGCAUUUAGUGGCUCUAGCCCGACAGCUAACCUCGUCAGCAUCAUUAAAGGCAAGA
rnacentral:sRNA from 2 species